AUUGCAUCGGCUUUCGGCAUCCUGGUCAGCAGUCACAACCAACAGGAACCGCAGGAAAUGUUCCACCCAGCCAGGCCGACCUUGGCUGGCUUUGGAGAAGGACAUUGCUGGAUCCAGUGCACGUCCAGCUGGAAUGUGACGGACCAGUAAGGCUGGAAAAAUCUCCCGCCGCAGUCGUCUUGGCUUGGACCAGGUUCAUCCAUCGCAGCCGUCACAACCGCCUCCUCGUCCCCAUCCGCGGUCUCAGUCAUCAGGAAUCGCAGGAACGAUCCUCCCAGCCAGGCUGUCCUAAGCUGGCAGUAAGGAUGGAGAAAAUCCCCCGCCGCAGUCACAACCAACAGGAACCGCAGGAAAUGUUCCACCCAGCCAGGCCGACCUUGGCUGGCUUUGGAGAAGGACAUUGCUGGAUCCAGUGCACGUCCAGCUGGAAUGUGACGGACCAGUAAGGCUGGAAAAAUCUCCCGCCGCAGUCGUCUUGGCUUGGACCAGGUUCAUCCAUCGCAGCCGUCACAACCGCCUCCUCGUCCCCAUCCGCGGUCUCAGUCAUCAGGAAUCGCAGGAACGAUCCUCCCAGCCAGGCUGUCCUAAGCUGGCAGUAAGGAUGGAGAAAAUCCCCCGCCGCAGUCACAACCAACAGGAACCGCAGGAAAUGUUCCACCCAGCCAGGCCGACCUUGGCUGGCUUUGGAGAAGGACAUUGCUGGAUCCAGUGCACGUCCAGCUGGAAUGUGACGGACCAGUAAGGCUGGAAAAAUCUCCCGCCGCAGUCGUCUUGGCUUGGACCAGGUUCAUCCAUCGCAGCCGUCACAACCGCCUCCUCGUCCCCAUCCGCGGUCUCAGUCAUCAGGAAUCGCAGGAACGAUCCUCCCAGCCAGGCUGUCCUAAGCUGGCAGUAAGGAUGGAGAAAAUCCCCCGCCGCAGUCACAACCAACAGGAACCGCAGGAAAUGUUCCACCCAGCCAGGCCGACCUUGGCUGGCUUUGGAGAAGGACAUUGCUGGAUCCAGUGCACGUCCAGCUGGAAUGUGACGGACCAGUAAGGCUGGAAAAAUCUCCCGCCGCAGUCGUCUUGGCUUGGACCAGGUUCAUCCAUCGCAGCCGUCACAACCGCCUCCUCGUCCCCAUCCGCGGUCUCAGUCAUCAGGAAUCGCAGGAACGAUCCUCCCAGCCAGGCUGUCCUAAGCUGGCAGUAAGGAUGGAGAAAAUCCCCCGCCGCAGUCACAACCAACAGGAACCGCAGGAAAUGUUCCACCCAGCCAGGCCGACCUUGGCUGGCUUUGGAGAAGGACAUUGCUGGAUCCAGUGCACGUCCAGCUGGAAUGUGACGGACCAGUAAGGCUGGAAAAAUCUCCCGCCGCAGUCGUCUUGGCUUGGACCAGGUUCAUCCAUCGCAGCCGUCACAACCGCCUCCUCGUCCCCAUCCGCGGUCUCAGUCAUCAGGAAUCGCAGGAACGAUCCUCCCAGCCAGGCUGUCCUAAGCUGGCAGUAAGGAUGGAGAAAAUCCCCCGCCGCAGUCACAACCAACAGGAACCGCAGGAAAUGUUCCACCCAGCCAGGCCGACCUUGGCUGGCUUUGGAGAAGGACAUUGCUGGAUCCAGUGCACGUCCAGCUGGAAUGUGACGGACCAGUAAGGCUGGAAAAAUCUCCCGCCGCAGUCGUCUUGGCUUGGACCAGGUUCAUCCAUCGCAGCCGUCACAACCGCCUCCUCGUCCCCAUCCGCGGUCUCAGUCAUCAGGAAUCGCAGGAACGAUCCUCCCAGCCAGGCUGUCCUAAGCUGGCAGUAAGGAUGGAGAAAAUCCCCCGCCGCAGUCACAACCAACAGGAACCGCAGGAAAUGUUCCACCCAGCCAGGCCGACCUUGGCUGGCUUUGGAGAAGGACAUUGCUGGAUCCAGUGCACGUCCAGCUGGAAUGUGACGGACCAGUAAGGCUGGAAAAAUCUCCCGCCGCAGUCGUCUUGGCUUGGACCAGGUUCAUCCAUCGCAGCCGUCACAACCGCCUCCUCGUCCCCAUCCGCGGUCUCAGUCAUCAGGAAUCGCAGGAACGAUCCUCCCAGCCAGGUUGUCCUAAGCUGGCAGUAAGGAUGGAGAAAAUCCCCCGCCGCAGUCACAACCAACAGGAACCGCAGGAAAUGUUCCACCCAGCCAGGCCGACCUUGGCUGGCUUUGGAGAAGGACAUUGCUGGAUCCAGUGCACGUCCAGCUGGAAUGUGACGGACCAGUAAGGCUGGAAAAAUCUCCCGCCGCAGUCGUCUUGGCUUGGACCAGGUUCAUCCAUCGCAGCCGUCACAACCGCCUCCUCGUCCCCAUCCGCGGUCUCAGUCAUCAGGAAUCGCAGGAACGAUCCUCCCAGCCAGGCUGUCCUAAGCUGGCAGUAAGGAUGGAGAAAAUCCCCCGCCGCAGUCACAACCAACAGGAACCGCAGGAAAUGUUCCACCCAGCCAGGCCGACCUUGGCUGGCUUUGGAGAAGGACAUUGCUGGAUCCAGUGCACGUCCAGCUGGAAUGUGACGGACCAGUAAGGCUGGAAAAAUCUCCCGCCGCAGUCGUCUUGGCUUGGACCAGGUUCAUCCAUCGCAGCCGUCACAACCGCCUCCUCGUCCCCAUCCGCGGUCUCAGUCAUCAGGAAUCGCAGGAACGAUCCUCCCAGCCAGGCUGUCCUAAGCUGGCAGUAAGGAUGGAGAAAAUCCCCCGCCGCAGUCACAACCAACAGGAACCGCAGGAAAUGUUCCACCCAGCCAGGCCGACCUUGGCUGGCUUUGGAGAAGGACAUUGCUGGAUCCAGUGCACGUCCAGCUGGAAUGUGACGGACCAGUAAGGCUGGAAAAAUCUCCCGCCGCAGUCGUCUUGGCUUGGACCAGGUUCAUCCAUCGCAGCCGUCACAACCGCCUCCUCGUCCCCAUCCGCGGUCUCAGUCAUCAGGAAUCGCAGGAACGAUCCUCCCAGCCAGGCUGUCCUAAGCUGGCAGUAAGGAUGGAGAAAAUCCCCCGCCGCAGUCACAACCAACAGGAACCGCAGGAAAUGUUCCACCCAGCCAGGCCGACCUUGGCUGGCUUUGGAGAAGGACAUUGCUGGAUCCAGUGCACGUCCAGCUGGAAUGUGACGGACCAGUAAGGCUGGAAAAAUCUCCCGCCGCAGUCGUCUUGGCUUGGACCAGGUUCAUCCAUCGCAGCCGUCACAACCGCCUCCUCGUCCCCAUCCGCGGUCUCAGUCAUCAGGAAUCGCAGGAACGAUCCUCCCAGCCAGGCUGUCCUAAGCUGGCAGUAAGGAUGGAGAAAAUCCCCCGCCGCAGUCACAACCAACAGGAACCGCAGGAAAUGUUCCACCCAGCCAGGCCGACCUUGGCUGGCUUUGGAGAAGGACAUUGCUGGAUCCAGUGCACGUCCAGCUGGAAUGUGACGGACCAGUAAGGCUGGAAAAAUCUCCCGCCGCAGUCGUCUUGGCUUGGACCAGGUUCAUCCAUCGCAGCCGUCACAACCGCCUCCUCGUCCCCAUCCGCGGUCUCAGUCAUCAGGAAUCGCAGGAACGAUCCUCCCAGCCAGGCUGUCCUAAGCUGGCAGUAAGGAUGGAGAAAAUCCCCCGCCGCAGUCACAACCAACAGGAACCGCAGGAAAUGUUCCACCCAGCCAGGCCGACCUUGGCUGGCUUUGGAGAAGGACAUUGCUGGAUCCAGUGCACGUCCAGCUGGAAUGUGACGGACCAGUAAGGCUGGAAAAAUCUCCCGCCGCAGUCGUCUUGGCUUGGACCAGGUUCAUCCAUCGCAGCCGUCACAACCGCCUCCUCGUCCCCAUCCGCGGUCUCAGUCAUCAGGAAUCGCAGGAACGAUCCUCCCAGCCAGGCUGUCCUAAGCUGGCAGUAAGGAUGGAGAAAAUCCCCCGCCGCAGUCACAACCAACAGGAACCGCAGGAAAUGUUCCACCCAGCCAGGCCGACCUUGGCUGGCUUUGGAGAAGGACAUUGCUGGAUCCAGUGCACGUCCAGCUGGAAUGUGACGGACCAGUAAGGCUGGAAAAAUCUCCCGCCGCAGUCGUCUUGGCUUGGACCAGGUUCAUCCAUCGCAGCCGUCACAACCGCCUCCUCGUCCCCAUCCGCGGUCUCAGUCAUCAGGAAUCGCAGGAACGAUCCUCCCAGCCAGGCUGUCCUAAGCUGGCAGUAAGGAUGGAGAAAAUCCCCCGCCGCAGUCACAACCAACAGGAACCGCAGGAAAUGUUCCACCCAGCCAGGCCGACCUUGGCUGGCUUUGGAGAAGGACAUUGCUGGAUCCAGUGCACGUCCAGCUGGAAUGUGACGGACCAGUAAGGCUGGAAAAAUCUCCCGCCGCAGUCGUCUUGGCUUGGACCAGGAUGGCCAAAUCGGACCUGUGGCGGUCAUCAAAUCCAAAUGGAGUAGGAGUAGCUGGCGUCGCGGGUUGCAUCAGGAUUUGUUGUGGCGGCCAUCGAAUCCAAAUGGAGUAGGAGUAGCUGGCGGCGCGGGUUGCAUCAGGAUUUGCUGUGGCGGCCAUCGAAUACAAAUGGAGUAGGAGUAGCUAGCGUCUCGGGUUGCAUCGGGAUUUGCUACUCAACCGAGGCGAGAGGAUUGGCAGGAGCGUAGAUAAGUUUUAAAGUUGAUUUUAUGGUGUUGAUUGUAGUUUUCGUGCAAUGGGAUUUUAGUUGUGUUAAUAUGUGUUAAUAUUCCUUUUCAGCAUGGCCAAAACGGAUCUGUGGCAUCCAUCAGGUCCAGUAAAGAAACGCAAGGCAGGAGUGGCUGGUUUCUGGGUAGCAUGCAGGAUUUGCUGCGUCGAGGCGAGGAUUUGAGCAGGAAGGUAGAGUAGUUUGACCAAAACAAGCGUAUGGCGGCUUUUUUCAAGUUUACUCAACGACACUCAGGAGAAGACUGUUGAUUUUUUCAAGUUUACUCAACGACACUCAGGAGAAGACUGUUGAUCAGAAUUCCCUGGUCGUUAUAUUUAUUGCCCUCUGAUUACAUGUAUUGUAAUAUUUAGGUACAUUAAAUGGCGGGAAAUAGUA